UACGUAGGGGGCGAGCGUUGUUCGGAAUUACUGGGCGUAAAGGGCGUGUAGGCGGUGCGGUAAGUCGGACGUGAAAUCCCCGGGCUCAACUCGGGGGGGUCGUUCGGGACUGCCGCGCUAGAGUGCGGGAGAGGGAAGUGGAAUUCCCGGUGUAGCGGUGAAAUGCGUAGAUAUCGGGAAGAACACCGGUGGCGAAGGCGGCUUCCUGGCCCGCAACUGACGCUGAGGCGCGAAAGCUAGGGGAGCAAACAGG
rnacentral:rRNA from 1 species